rnacentral:rRNA from 1 species
CCUACGGGAGUCAGCAGUGGGGAAUAUUGGACAACGGGGGGAACCCUGAUCCAGCCAUGCCGCGUGUGUGAAGAAGGCCCUCGGGUUGUAAAGCACUUUCAGUGAGGAAGAACGCCUGGUGGUUAAUACCCAUCAGGAAAGACAUCACUCACAGAAGAAGCACCGGCUAACUCCGUGCCAGCAGCCGCGGUAAUACGGAGGGUGCGAGCGUUAAUCGGAAUUACUGGGCGUAAAGCGCGCGUAGGUGGCUUGAUAAGCCGGUUGUGAAAGCCCCGGGCUCAACCUGGGAACGGCAUCCGGAACUGUCAAGCUAGAGUGCAGGAGAGGAAGGUAGAAUUCCCGGUGUAGCGGUGAAAUGCGUAGAGAUCGGGAGGAAUACCAGUGGCGAAGGCGGCCUUCUGGACUGACACUGACACUGAGGUGCGAAAGCGUGGGUAGCAAACAGGAUUAGAUACCCCAGUAGUC